rnacentral:lncRNA from 1 species
GCCAAGGGCUGAAGAAAUCCAAUACCUUGGCCUGCUGGGAAGCUCGCAGCCAAAAAUGUCCUAAGAACUCCCGGAGGGCCAAGGGCCCUACACUCAAGAAACCUGCAAUUACUGGUCUUGUCUGCCUACAGCCGGCACAGAAAAACACAGUCAGCAGAGAUCAGCACUCCCAGAACUUUUUGUCUAUCUAUGAUUUCUAGCUGGGCAAAGGAAAAGAAGUCCAGCUGUUUAGUAGCAAGAGGCUGCUAUCAUUGUAUCCUUUACUGUAUUAAUUAGAAAUGAUGGCACAGAGAUGUAGCCUCUUGUAAAGUCCCACAGCACACAGGGGGUUGAAUUAGAACUAUAAGCAGGAAGCUGGCCUCCCCGGCCAGAGCUCUGAUUCUUUCCUUCUUAAACUCCUGGUCAAAUGGAGUGACCACAGACGCCAGUGCUGUGCACUGUGGGUGACCCUGAGCAAGUACUUAGCACAGCACAUGAACUAUUAUUACAGUUGACAUUGAAUAAGGACUUAUAUGUUAUUCGGGUUUCGUUUUGCGUUAAGACCAGAGAUAUUUUAUGUCGAUGAAAUAAUACAACUACCCAAACCACCCAACGAAACCGGGUAGACUCUGGAGGAAUACAAAUCUAUAGUAACUCAUGCCGGUGAGCUCACCGCACAAGAGUUAACAGCGAGGCACGCUCUAAAGGAUCCUCGCGUCCGAGCUGCAGGUCCCCAGGCCACAGGGAAGCACCAUUUUCAGUCCGAACUCCCUCUGAGACGGUUCUGCCUGAAGCCUGCCCUUCGGAUGGGGACCUGGCCUCCUUUUCAGGAGAGCGCGGCUCUUGCCAUUUGAAGACGUUUAGUUUUUCAAAGUUGUUUUGCAGUCGCCAAGAUGACCGAUUACUGGCUUAAAAGUUGCUAAAAUAAUCCAGCCCGGUUCGUGACCCUGUAAACCCUGCCGGGGAAGGGCCCGCCUGCCUCCCCCAGUCCAGCGGUGAGCAAAGGCGGCCCGAGACUCCCGGCCCCGCCGCCCGUGGUGCUCGACCCUGAUACCCGCCGCACGCCCGCCGCCCACCUGCCAGGGAAAGGAGGGCAGCGCGCGAGCCGCCAGGAAGCGGCGCUCGAAACUCUGCAGCAGAGACGUGGCCCCCUCGUGGUCCUCAGGCGCCAUCGCGGGGCAGGGCCAGGGUUGCCUGGAAACGGGCGGAAGCGAGGCCUGAGACGGAGGAGGCGUGGCAACUAGGAGGUGCCCUAGCUAUGCUGGACAAAAGGAUUCUCCAUCGAUCGGUGCAGCCCCUGAAGAUGCGGCUUCAGCCAGGACUGUUUGCACCACACACACAGAGGCCAAGUGCAGAUGACCCCAAGGCCAGUUCUUCCUGGGCCAGAGAGUCAACUCCUCACUCCCAAGCUCGGGGGCAGUGACAAUGGUUACAGUCAGAGGCUGAGGAAUUCUGACACCUGGGUUCUCAGAUGCUGCCAGAGGCUGUGGAAUUUUGACUUCUCAGACAUAAGACCUUCUACUCAAGGUCAAGAGCCACAGGUCUGACACUGCAGGUCUGCAUAGCAGCUGGAAGACCUGUAGAGUGAAGAGUCCUGGGCUUGGGAGAUGGCUCGGUGGGUAAAGGUCUUACCAUGGAAACAUGAGGACCCCAGGAAUGCUGGGCAUAACAGCGAUUUCUGUAAUUCCAUCACUCCUGUGUUGAGAUGGAUGGUAGAGACAGGAGAAUUCUUUGAAGCCCAUGGGCUGGCUGGCUUCAUAUAUGCAGCACUGAAUAUGAGGGACUUUGCCUUGAACAUGGUGGGAGGUGAGGACUGAGAGCUAACAUUGUCCUUUGACAUCUACAUCAGUGACAAGACACAACAGCACACGAUAAAAAAACAAAACAGAUGGAUCUGGAGAGAUGGCUCAGUGGUUAGAAGCACCACUGACCUUGCAGGAGACUCAAGUUUGGCUCCCAGCUCACAAAUGCCUGUAACUCCAGGGGCUCAGAUGCCCUCUUCUUGUUAUUAGACGCGUUCUCACGACCGGCCAGGAAAGACGCAACAAACCAGAAUCUUCUGCGGCAAAGCUUUAUUGCUUACAUCUUCAGGAGCCAGAGUGCAAGAGAGCAAGCAAGGAAAUGGCGAAACCCCAUCCCUUUUUAAGGAGAAUUAUCCUCCACCUAGGACGUAUUACUCCCUGAUUAGCUGCAGCCCAUCGGCCCAGUUGUCAUCACGGGAAAGGCAGAACACAUGGUGGGAAAACUGCCCCUGCAUGUGUGCAGACUAUGUUUACCACUUAGAACACAGCUGUCAGUGCCAUCUUAUAAUGGCAAAUGUGAGGGCGGCUCCUCACAUCUUCUGGUUCUCUGGACACCUGCAAUGUGCCCCUAGUGCAUGUGUGCGUGCACACACACACACACACACACACACACACACACACACACCAGUUAGUUUUAAAAUGCCUCAGCUAGCUCAAAGUCUGGGCAGUUCUAAUCCUCCCCUUGGCUAGUACACAUUUUCCUCCUAUAAUUCUGGCUUAACGCCCUCUAGUUCUAUAUUUUAUUUUUGUUGCCCUGGUUCCUUCUGGGUGGCUCCCUAGUCUUUGCUGCACAAGAUGCUUCUGGAUAGCCUUUCCAGGGGCCCAUAUUCCUUCUCACCUACAUUUCGGAUAGUUUUUCCUUCUGCAGCUCUAUAUCCGAUCCAUCUCCCUCUGAAUUAUGGCAAUUCUCUGUUUUCCCUUCUCUCAGUUGCUAGCCCAUGCAAAUCUAAAGGUCCUGCUUCAGUCUGCCUUCCCAACCACUGGUCAUUGUCUCUUUAUUGACCAAUCAAAAGCCAGUUGGGGACAAGAACCUUCAGCAUUUGGACAUGCAGAUUCCCAAUUUUGAGGGCUGGAUUAAUUGGAAGCCUUGGAACCAAUCCCCAGCAUCAUCUUUUCUGUCCAAAUUUUAAAAAAGGCUCUUCUGUCAGACAUAAAUUGAGCAUAACCAUAACAGUUAUGUAAAUUACAAAGUACGAUAUGCAAUUAACAUCCAGUCUGUCAUAUUUGGCAAUUUAGAUAAAGUAUUCUAUUAUCUAUCUUAGCUUAAUGAGUUACAAUUCUGUACCUAAAUCAUGUUUGAUUUCAACUUGUAUUACCAUCUGAAAACCGUCUUUUGAAUCUAGAACACCUUUAAUGCUAAACAGCUUACGUUCAAUUGUGAGGUUAUAAUUAGUCUUCAACCUCGUCAGUCAGAGAUUUGAUAAGGAAUUAAAUAUUACCUGAGUAUGUAGGAAGAACACAGACGCAGCUUCCAAAACCUUUUCUUCCCUGUUCAAAACGAUACCAUCUCCAAGUUAUCCCUUAAAAUGACAGCCCAUCUAUAAUUUGUAAAAUAAUCAUAACCAGACACUCAAACGCAAGGAAUCAGACUGAUGACGCCCAUGGCUUCCUCCUGCCGGAUAGGGAUGAUAAGAAAUUCUUUAAAGGGGUGGGGAGGGGAAGGAAGAUUAGAAAAAGUGCUAGGCUUAAGACAGGUAGAUUUAGCAUCUGUUACCCAUUUUCUGUUCAGGGCUGAACUGAGGUUCUGACUGGGUCCGUCUGAAAGGCUGGAUGAACCAAAUCCACAGGGAAUCAGUGGCAUCCCUGAGGCUGUUCUAGAAGUGAGGCUCUGGAAGCACCAGGAAGCAGGGGGCCGGAGCGGCAGGUCAGCUCAGUGUCCCAGCAGAUGAAUCAGGGUCGUACAAUCUGCAACGUAUGAAUCACAAGCAGAAUUUCUGUACUAUUAAGAUAUUCGUAUCCAUUGUGCAGGGUGCACAGAUCAGUUAAGGAUGAAAUCUGUUCCUUGUUUGAGCAGGUAAAAGACAAUUGUCUUUUUUAUGAAUUAUUUUUAACAAUAACCAAUUGUGUGAUAAAUCUCCAUUCAUGAUAUAUGAAGGAGGGCAUGAAAAAUCUUAAGGAUUCCAUAACCAACAAGAUUUACUGUCUAAUUUUAGCUGAAGUUUUAGUUAGAGACAUUUUUAUGUCUAAGUCAGUUACUGGACUCUUCCCAUGUUGAGGAAUCAGCAGAUCAAGUUGCCUGUCCUGUUCAAUUUUCUCGAAUUUUUCUUUGCUGUAGUCAAGAUCCUCAGAGGGUCUCUCCUGUCCUACCUGAUCCAUAUCACUGUGGAAGGGGUCCAAAGCCUCUUCCCUUUUCCCGUCAGCACAAAUGCAGAGCUUUCUCCCAGGAACUGGAAAGCGUUAAAGGUACAGCUUGACCUCUCUCGCAGAGGAGCUAUAACUGCCACACUCAUAGCCACACGAAUUUUGAUAAUUAAAGCAAUUCAAAGCAGUUAAAGCAAUCUAAACAAACAUUAACCAUUGAGACAGUGCUUCUUCACCAUCUCCUGCUUUUUGACCUAUACUUUAAGAUCAAUAUUUUACACAUCUAUGUAUAGUCAAAUCAUGCCUACUAUGGAGAGGAGCUCUGUGAGUACUUAUGAUAGUAUGUCACUUUCUCUUUAUGUAAUUCUCAAGGCCUAAGUUUCUAUUCUCUGAGAUAGGUUAGACUCCCUAUCCCUUGCUUUUUAAUCUAAUUUUUAAGGAUAGGAAACCUCAGUAUUGUCUAUGUCUACUUACUGUAUAAGUCUAUUUUCAGGCUCAAUUUUGUCAUACCAGGCUAAACAAUCACAGAAAUCUCAUGUGGACUAUGUUCAAAGAUUUUGAGAAUUUGCCCUGGCAAGACUUUUAAAUUUCUCUAAAGAAAUUUUUUUUUUUCAUUCAGUCUCCCUAACUUCUUUCCUCUGUAUACUUAAGAACAUUUAAGCAAUUACCAUUAUACUCUCUUCUAUCCUUAAAAGGAAUUAAAUACAAAUUUAUAAAAAUUUAUUUAUCUGG